rnacentral:rRNA from 1 species
AGUGAACGCUGGCGGUAGGCCUAACACAUGCCAGUCGAACGGCAGCACAGUAAGAGCUUGCUCUUACGGGUGGCGAGUGGCGGACGGGUGAGGAAUACAUCGGAAUCUACUUUUUCGUGGGGGAUAACGUAGGGAAACUUACGCUAAUACCGCAUACGACCUACGGGUGAAAGCAGGGGAUCUUCGGACCUUGCGCGAUUGAAUGAGCCGAUGUCGGAUUAGCUAGUUGGCGGGGUAAAGGCCCACCAAGGCGACGAUCCGUAGCUGGUCUGAGAGGAUGAACAGGCACAAUGGAACUGAGACAAGGUCCAGACUCCUAAGGGAGGCAGCAGUGGGGAAUAUUGGACAAUGGGCGCAAGCCUGAUCCAGCCAUACCGCGUGGGUGAAGAAGGCCUUCGGGUUGUAAAGCCCUUUUGUUGGGAAAGAAAAGCAGCAGGUUAAUACCCCGCUGUUCUGACGGUACCCAAAGAAUAAGCACCGGCUAACUUCGUG